rnacentral:piRNA from 1 species
AUACUAAACCAAAACUUUCUCUGC